rnacentral:rRNA from 1 species
CUAAGAAUCUUCCGCAAUGGGCGAAAGCCUGACGGAGCGACGCCGCGUGAACGAAGAAGGCCGUGAGGUUGUAAAGUUCUUUUCGGGAGGGGGAACGACCGUGGCAGGGAAUGGCCGCGGGAUGACGUGAAUCCCGGAAUAAGCCCCGGCUAACUACGUGCCAGCAGCCGCGGUAACACGUAGGGGGCGAGCGUUGUUCGGAAUCAUUGGGCGUAAAGGGCGUGCAGGCGGUCCUGCGAGUCCGGCGUGAAAGACCCCGGCCCAACCGGGGGGGCGCGCUGGAAACUGCAGGGCUUGAGUACAGGAGGGGAUGCCGGAAUUCCAGGUGUAGGGGUGAAAUCUGUAGAUAUCUGGAAGAACACCAAUGGCGAAGGCAGGCAUCUGGCCAUGUACUGACGCUGAGACGCGAAGGUGCGGGGAGCAAACAGG